UACAGAGGUCUCAAGCGUUGUUCGGAUUCAUUGGGCGUAAAGGGUGCGUAGGCGGCGCGGUAAGUCGGGUGUGAAAUCUCGGAGCUUAACUCCGAAACUGCAUUCGAUACUGCCGUGCUUGAGGACUGGAGAGGAGACUGGAAUUUACGGUGUAGCGGUGAAAUGCGCAGAUAUCAGGAGGAACACCGGUGGCGAAGGCGGGUCUCUGGGCAUUAACUGACGCUGAGGAGCGAAAGCAUGGGGAGCGAACAGG
rnacentral:rRNA from 1 species